rnacentral:rRNA from 1 species
GACGAACGCUGGCGGCGUGCCUAAUACAUGCAAGUCGAGCGGGUUUAUCCUUCGGGGUAAGCUAGCGGCGGACGGGUGAGUAACACGUAGGCAACCUGCCUUCAAGAUCGGGAUAACUAUCGGAAACGAUAGCUAAGACCGGAUAGCUGGUUUUCUCGCAUGAGAGAAUCAUGAAACACGGAGUAAUCUGUGGCUUGAAGAUGGGCCUGCGGCGCAUUAGCUAGUUGGUGAGGUAACGGCUCACCAAGGCGACGAUGCGUAGCCGACCUGAGAGGGUGAACGGCCACACUGGGACUGAGACACGGCCCAGACUCCUACGGGAGGCAGCAGUAGGGAAUCUUCCGCAGUGGACGCAAGUCUGACGGAGCAACGCCGCGUGAGUGAUGAAGGUUUUCGGAUCGUAAAGCUCUGUUGCCCUAGACGAACAGCAUCAGGAGUAACUGCCUGUUGUGUGACGGUAUAGGAGAAGAAAGCCCCGGCUAACUACGUGCCAGCCGCCGCAGUAACAC